GUCCACGCUGUAAACGAUGAGAGCUAGUUGUCGGCACGCAUGCGUGUCGGUGACGCAGCUAACGCAUUAAGCUCUCCGCCUGGGGAGUACGGCCGCAAGGUUAAACUCAAAGAAAUUGACGGGGCCCGCACAAGCGGUGGAGCAUGUGGUUUAAUUCGAAGCAACGCGAAGAACCUUACCCACGUUUGACAUGUCCAGUAUGACCCGGAGAGAUUUGGGUCUUCAGUUCGGCUGGCUGGAACACAGGUGCUGCAUGGCUGUCGU
rnacentral:rRNA from 1 species